UCUAAGUGUACGAAUCAAACAGUG
rnacentral:siRNA from 1 species